GGUUUUUAUUCCCUUGCCUGCACCCUCAGGUUGUUAUCAAUCUAUUAAAUAUUGUUGCUUGGUAGGAAAAAUUAGGCCAAAAUCCGUAAAAAAUAGAUCGGCCAUUCAAUAAUUAAAUUUACUCGCCCCAGCUCUCAUUUCCACUAACCGCGCGAAUUCUGACACAUGCUCAGACAGAAUUCCCACCUGUUAUCAAUAUUUAAAUGUAAUACAGGUCGGUUCAAGUCCAGUUUUUUCCCAGCACUUAGUCAAUUUUCGAAUGUUUUAAAUUAAUUGUUUUAAUAGUGCAUGUGUUAAAACAUUCGGACAUUUUAAUCCAUGUACAAUUUUAGCACGGUAUGGAUUUUACUGAUUAUUUUUGUAAAUAUAAAGUAUUUCACCUUGGUUGCAAUUUUAUAUUAAAUAAACCGUAAUAAUGGAAACUUUAUCAAUCGGAA